rnacentral:misc_RNA from 1 species
AAAUGCGAUAAGUAGUGUGAAUUACAGAAUUCAGUGAAUCAUCGAAUCUUUGAACGCACAUUGCGCCCCUUGGUAUUCCAUGGGGCAUGCCUGUUCGAGCGUCAUUUGUACCCUCAAGCUCUGCUUGGUGUUGGGUGUUUGUCCCCGUCUCCGCGCGUGGACUCGCCCCAAAGUGAUUGGCAGCCGGCGUACUGGUCCCGGAGCGCAGCACAUGUCGCGCAAACGAGUGCCUUGGUACGGCGGCGUCCAUAAGCCCCUCUCUCACGCUCUUGACCUCGGAUCAGGUAGGGAUACCCGCUGAACUUAAGC